UUGACUUUAUCACCAUACGUCGACUCUUUCAGUUUUUAUUUGGUUAAGCCGGCCAUUUUUCUCCUUUUCUUGCUUCCAUACUUUUUGCAGCCGCAAAUUUGCGCUGGUUUUUCAAUUAGACGAUUACACUGGAGUCGUUUUUUCCAGUGUUAUCAAUUUAUUGGUGUUAUCUUUUUUGCUUGUCCUGUUUGUUGCCCCCUUUGUCACAUCCAUCAAGCCAUUCAUCGCAAAUCGCUGCAGCGGUUUAAAGCGACGAAACGCUCUUUACUGUUAACAACAGUAUAUGCCUUUACUCUUGGCGAAAAGAUGAAUAUGUCCAAUUUGCUCGAGCUCCGUAUCAGCACUUUCAGAACAGUGACUCACGAGCACAGGAAUAGUGGCGAUCAGCUGUUCGUGGACUCCCUCGUGCCCAGAGACACACGUGACCGCAACUGGAGAGCUGCCAGGGGUCUGCUGGCAACUCUCUUCAUAUACUGCCUGCUUAUCUGUGCGGCUGCAAGCAUCGCAUACCAGGUGUUUGGAUUAAGCUUCGAUGGCAAACAUAGUUUCCUGCUCGUCGUCUCCGAGAUAGUGCAGAAGAAGAGCAAGACGUGGAAAUUCUAAAAGAAAUCUGGUCCACUAGAUUUGAUUCUACACGAGGGUUUUUAUGACGAAAUUACAAGCAAUGGGCAGUUAUUUCACCAAUGGUGGAUCGAAUCGCUAGGAGCACGUCGCACCCUAGAUUUACACAUUUUCACAGCCAAAAACAAGUCAUCCCCAAGGUUCUUUUACAUCACCAUCUUCAGGGCUGAACAGCACUAAAAUUGGUUUUAUGACAACUUUCGUUUUAAAAUACCUUUAUUGAUUAAGAAGAGAGCAAAAAGUACAAUUUCAUUGAAAAAAUUCAG